GCAUUGGUGGUUCAGCAGUAAAAUUCUUGUCUUCCACGCAGGAGACCCGGGUUCGAUUCCUGGCCGAUGCA
rnacentral:tRNA from 1 species